UUUUGGUAUCUAGGGUAUCUCUGAGUAGUCGAUUUUUGAUCUCUACCCAUCCUCAAAACUGAAAACCAGUCCUCCAUUUCUCCAGGGCUUACCUUUUCAUCACUUGAAGACCAGUGGUUACGUGAUUUGGACCCACUGAGGAACGUAGAAUGAUAUCAGUUCAAAAGUAUUGGAUACCUGUGGAGCACUUUGCAAGAUAUUGCAGGAUUUUUGGGGCUUUCUAUAGAACUACACAGAAGUAUUGCUGAGUACUUUGCAAUAUGAAUUCCUGCAAUUUGCAGGAAUUUGCCACGCUUUUCAGGUGAUCAUGCUUGGCACUGUAUGCCACAAUGUGGAAACUUGACGGUAUCCUCAAGACACUAGAGAGCAUGACCAGGGGAUGAUGCCAGGGUGGGCAAGACAUAGCAUGCAUUAUACCUGUGUAGCUAAAGUGCCCACAAGAGACUGCAAAACUUCUCUAAGCAGCAGGUAUGUCAU
ensembl:lncRNA novel transcript